rnacentral:rRNA from 1 species
UUAAAUUGAAGAGUUUGAUCAUGGCUCAGAUUGAACGCUGGCGGCAGGCUUAACACAUGCAAGUCGAACGGUAGCAGGGAGGAAGCUUGCUUUCU